UACGGAGGGGGCUAGCGUUGUUCGGAAUUACUGGGCGUAAAGCGCGCGUAGGCGGCUUUGUAAGUUAGAGGUGAAAGCCCAGGGCUCAACCCUGGAAUUGCCUUUAAGACUGCAUCGCUUGAACAUCGGAGAGGUAAGUGGAAUUCCGAGUGUAGAGGUGAAAUUCGUAGAUAUUCGGAAGAACACCAGUGGCGAAGGCGACUUACUGGACGAUUGUUGACGCUGAGAUGCGAAAGCGUGGGGAGCAAACAGG
rnacentral:rRNA from 1 species